CAAUAAAUACACAAUAUUUUUAUGGGAGACGAGCAUUGUUUUUUUUCUUUCUUCAUGGACAAUUUAGAAAUCUAGUUCCAUAUGAAAACCUCUCUUGCAUUCAAAAUUCGUGAAGUCCAUGCCUCAGUUUGUUAGCAAUAAAUACACAAUAUUUUUAUGGGAGACGAGCAUUGUUUUUUUUCUUUCUUCAUGGACAAUUUAGAAAUCUAGUUCCAUAUGAAAACCUCUCUUGCAUUCAAAAUUCGUGGUAUGAGGUUUCAGCAUAAUUGUAAUGGUAUAACUAAACUACUGUGAAAAAGUAUCAGUAGAUCACAUGGUAGAACCUGACUAUUGCUAGUCAUUAUUUACAUGAUCUCUAUGAACU
rnacentral:lncRNA from 1 species